UUCUAAAGUUUUCUGGAUUUUUGCAUAAUUUUGUUUUUUCCAAUGUUCUGAAAGAUUUUAACAUCUCUGGAGAUCGAGUGUGGGAUUCUCGAGGAUGUUUAGGUCACCGGAGAAUCUGAAGAUGUAUGAUACAGUAGUAAAAGGGCAAGGAGUGUACACGUGUAAGGUUAAGGCUUCUAUAGAGAAUGGAGUUUUGGCUGUAACGGUGCCUAAAGUGGAGAUCAUGAAGAAGAAGGUUCAAGUUAAGUCAACUGAAAUCUCUGGUUGAGCCAAUUUGAGCUUGAAUUUGAAUUUUCUGUGGUCUUUGCUUUUUGUGUGUGUGUCUCUGAUGAACAUGGUUCUUUGUUUUGAAUAUAGUUUAGUUGCUAUGCUAUUAGCCCUAUUAGUUUAGAUACUUAUGUUCUAUGUAAUGGUUUAAGAGAUAAUCUAAAUCGAGAUGGAUCUUGAUAUGUAGUCAAAUCAUGAGUUCUCAGUGCAAAGCACGGCUAAAAGUGUUUGGAUAGUGGUCUUAGCUUUAGUGAGUUAAAAAGCUUGUAUGUGGAGUUGGAAUCGAAGCUUGUUUGUUUGGUUGAUUGUUCCUUUGAUGUGAUUGUGACUAGCAUUCUGGUUUAUCUUUCUGAUGUAGAACUGGUUUGAUGGGAGACUCUUUGUAGCAAAUUGCCUUGUGUCAACGUUCAAGAGUGAAUAAACCAACAGGAACUUAAUCUGACGGCGUUUCGAUAGGCUAUAUUGUUGAGCAUCAUUUUGUAUUUGUCAAAAUCAGAAAGCACAGUCAUGGUUAAGGAAGGCACUUGAGGUAAGGUACAUACUCAACUGAAUCUGUCUUCAGGGUAGCUAAUGAGCAAGUACCAAUGCUUAAUGAUAGAUAAUGCUAACUUGCUGACUUCUUGAUGAUCUGCUGGGAAAUUAACUGAGGAAUCCAAUGAGAAACUAAGGCAGGUGUUGGCAUCUCUUAGAGUUAUUGAGAAUAGGCGGGAAUUAAAGCGGUGUACAAAACCGAAAGCUCGUGGAAGAAAGAGGUUGAGUCUAUCAGAAGGCACAUGCCUUGGACAUCCCAGAUUCCCAGUUCUUCUCUUUACCACGCCAAGUGUACAUGUUAAAUGAAGGAUCUAGUAAGCUCAAACAGCAUGCUGUGUCAAUAUAAAAUAUGACCUUGAAGCCGCCCAAGAGGAUAAGGUUAGAGCUUUGGUCAAACAAAAUACUGCAACAUCUUAUUUUCAGAACGCUAUGGAAUGAAAAGAUGGAACUGGCAUUUGAGUUGGAGCAUUGUAAGAAGAAGAGAAAAGCAAGAAAGCUAUGGAAGGCUUGAUUUUAGAUCGGCAGUUUAGUAUCUUUGAAGCAGGAGGGAAGCAAAGGGGAAGAAGCUCUUGAUAUGUCAACCGUAGCUUCAACGUUGUGGAGCCCAGAUUUAAAGUUUGUAGUUGGCUGCAAAAGAUACAUUUGAAAACGAAUUAAAAAUGUGUGAAGACUGUGAUUAGAAAACAACCAAAACGAGUUUGUCAACCCUGAGUCUGAGUGUAAAACAGCUAGAACUUCAUUUGAUGGUUUUUGUAAAAAAAUCGGGAACUUGGCACGGUAUAUUAGAAGAAGAAGGCAGUAUGAAUAAGGGACCUUAGAACUUGAGGAGGAGAUGGAGGGAUCUGUAGGAAACCAAAGUGUUGAAGAAGCAAAAACUGAAACCCAUGGAACUUAAAGAAAGCUUGUUGGACAAAAAAGGUUGCUUUAGAAAACAGAAAACUCAGAGCAAUGUAUUGUAGGUUAGUUCUCUUGAAAAACUCACUGAGUUGUCAAAGGUAAAUGAAAGCUUGGUGCGUUCAUAAGGAGACAACCUAUCUCAAGAAGAUUGCAAGAGUAGUAAUCAGAAAAAAAAAAUGAGAGCUUAUUGACAAAAAGAAACCAACCUGUGGAACCAUUGUUCAAGAAGCUGAAGAGCUCAGAAAUAGGGAGCUGGCUAAUACCAAAUUGCUGAACACUAAUCAAGAUUAGCUGAGAAGGAAUCUCAAACGCAGAGUUUUAAGAAGAAGUCAAUAAGAAGAUUGAGUUAGCACCAUAACUUAUCUCCGUCACCGGUACGUAAAUGACAUACAUCUUCAUACGUAAGUUUCUCAUGUUCCAGAACACACAAAUAACUUAAACGAACCGUUCUUUCCACACAAAAUGUGAAUUGAAAUGUCAAGUGUGAAUGACAUCUUCCUCCGUAA